GGAGAACUAGGGGAAUACAAGAAGAGUUUAAUCCUUCCAACCCGUAGUUGAUAAGCAGAUCCAGUCAGGACUUGUAUGGACUACAGCAGACUCCCGCAGCACACGGAUUCUUGAUGCACAGAAACUGUCCGGUACCUGAGGGAGAUGGUGUCCUCAGAAUGACACACACAUCCAAUUAUUGUGGAGAGAAGAAACAUGUAAAUACAGCAUUCAUGAUAGAGAUCUUUGCUGAUUACAGAUGUGGAUUGUUUGAAGGUCAUUAGUGGGGAGCUGGAUUUGAAGUGGAGCAGCAGGACUUGAACUAGUGCCUAAAUGGGAUAUUGUUGUGUCUCAGGUGGUGGCUUUAUGCACUGUGCCAUAAUACCAGCCCCCAACUGUUCUGAUGCAGUAGCUGAUGUCCCUGCAGCCUUCAUGACUCAGAAGUGACCUUGAGAAGGAAAAUAACUCAAGUACCCCUGAAGAAAUUGAAGUCACCAUGCAAGCUCUAGACUGGUUACACAUGGAUUUUCUUCUGCAAUGAUAGAGAUAUUAAUAUGAAGUCAUUGUAAUUUUCACUAUUGUUUUUCAUGAAGUCAAAUGAAAUCAUAAAUGAUAUACCUUCCCUCCAUCAUGCUUAAUAUUCUUUGUUAGUUUCCAUUAUCUAAAAUCGUAUUCUCUAUUGCUACUCAAUUGUCAAAUUCUUCUCCAGUAUAUAUAAGAAUAUGAGAAGAGCUUUUGUUUGUAUUGUUUUCAUUCUAUCCACGGACCUACACAGUGUCUAGCAUAAACUUAGUGGUCAAUAAUUGUGCUCUGGGGCAGGUGUUGUAGCACGGCAGGUAUCCAAUCUCAGAGUGCCAGUUUGAGUCCCAACAGUGCUACUUCCCAUCCAGCUCUCUGAUAAUGAAACUGGGAAGGCAGCAGAAGAUGGACCAAGUAGAU